rnacentral:rRNA from 1 species
CCUACGGGUGGCAGCAGUGGGGAAUAUUGGACAAUGGGCGAAAGCCUGAUCCAGCCAUGCCGCGUGUGUGAAGAAGGCCUUCGGGUUGUAAAGCACUUUCAGUGGGGAAGAAAGCCUUGGGGCUAAUACCCUCGAGGAAGGACAUCACCCACAGAAGAAGCACCGGCUAACUCCGUGCCAGCAGCCGCGGUAAUACGGAGGGUGCGAGCGUUAAUUGGAAUUACUGGGCGUAAAGCGCGCGUAGGCGGUCUGAUAAGCCGGUUGUGAAAGCCCCGGGCUCAACCUGGGAACGGCAUCCGGAACUGUCAGGCUAGAGUGCAGGAGAGGAAGGUAGAAUUCCCGGUGUAGCGGUGAAAUGCGUAGAGAUCGGGAGGAAUACCAGUGGCGAAGGCGGCCUUCUGGACUGACACUGACGCUGAGGUGCGAAAGCGUGGGUAGCAAACAGGAUUAGAUACCCGUGUAGUC